rnacentral:rRNA from 1 species
GACGUAGGGCGCGAGCGUUUGUCCGGAUUUAUUGGGCGUAAAGGGCCAGUAGGCGGCCAACUAAGUCGGAUGUGAAAUCCCCAGGCUCAACUUGGGAACUGCAUCCGAUACUGGAUGGCUUGAAUUCGGGAGAGGGAUGCAGAAUUCCAGGUGUAGCGGUGAAAUGCGUAGAUAUCUGGAGGAAUACCGGUGGCGAAGGCGGCAUCCUGGACCGACAUUGACGCUGAACGGCGAAAGCUAGGGGAGCAAACGGG